UACGUAGGCAGCGAGCGUUGUUCGGAGUUACUGGGCGUAAAGAGUGCGUAGGCGGUUUUCUAAGUUUGGUGUGAAAUCUCCCGGCUUAACUGGGAGGGUGCGCCGAAAACUGGAAGGCUUGAGUAUGGGAGAGGGAAGCGGAAUUCCCGGUGUAGUGGUGAAAUGCGUAGAUAUCUGGAGGAACAUCAGUGGCGAAGGCGACACCCUGGACUCAUACUGACACUGAGGUGCGAAAGCGUGGGGAGCAAACAGG
rnacentral:rRNA from 1 species